AACGAACGCUGGCGGCAUGCCUAACACAUGCGAGUCGAACGAGACCUUCGGGUCUAGUGGCGCACGGGUGCGUAACGCGUGGGAACCUGCCCUUAGGUUCGGAAUAACUCCCCGAAAGGGGUGCUAAUACCGGAUAAUGUUUUCGGACCAAAGAUUUAUCGCCUUUGGAUGGGCCCGCGUUGGAUUAGCUAGUUGGUAGGGUAAAAGCCUACCAAGGCGACGAUCCAUAGCUGGUCUGAGAGGAUGAUCAGCCACACUGGGACUGAGACACGGCCCAGACUCCUACGGGAGGCAGCAGUGGGGAAUAUUGGACAAUGGGCGAAAGCCUGAUCCAGCAAUGCCGCGUGAGUGAUGAAGGCCUUAGGGUUGUAAAGCUCUUUUACCCGGGAUGAUAAUGACAGUACCGGGAGAAUAAGCUCCGGCUAACUCCGUG
rnacentral:rRNA from 1 species